GCAAACUUGGUCAUUUAGAGGAAGUAAAAGUCGUAACAAGGUAACCGUAGGUGAACCUGCGGUUGGAUCAUUACCAAUUUUUUUAUAUUCCUUUUCUCUCCACACUUACUUUCUCUUCUCUUUGAGUUUGGGUGUGCGAGGAAAAGAAAUAUAAUAUAAACACACUGUGAACUUGUAAUCGUUUUUUUGGUGGUUCCUUGGGAGGGAAAGGGUGUUAGUAGAAUGACUUCUUCUCUCACUUUUCUUCCUUUGCGCUCCAAGUGGGGUGCGGUCCACCAAAAGGAACCCUCUCUCAUUCAGAGGGUUUCGAUUUAAACCCAACUACUCUAGUCUUUUUUUCUAUUAAAAGUCUUUUAUUUUUUGCUUUUCUUCUUUUCUCUCAUUCCUUUGGAAGUAAGAAAAAAAGGGAAGGGCAAAUUCAAGCCAAUUGAGAAACAACUUUUAACAACGGAUCUCUUGGCUCUCGCAUCGAUGAAGAACGCAGC
rnacentral:misc_RNA from 1 species